GCUUGAGCUAUCUCAAAAGCAAUUAAAAAUGUAAAACAAAUUUGGGACAAAACCCCUCUGAUCUUUCUUCAGCUGCUCUACAAAUGGAAAAAUACUAAGUAAAGAGAUUUGUGUCAUAGGAAAGGUAUUAUUAAUGGCACGUCUUGGCAAGGAUGUAGAGCAGUUGCGACUCUGGUGAUGGAAUUGCAGCGGGGGUGUCGCCUGUGGACCCUGGGGGGCUGUCUGCUAAAGCUCAAGGACACCUGUGGCUCAGCCCCUCGACUCCACCAGGAGUGAGACACGCGUCUGAUAAAAUGUGAACACAUUUACCAAGAACGAGACACAUGCCCGAUAAAAUGUGAACAUGUUUCUCUUAUGUGUAAUAGAAAAAAACUGAAAGCCACCCAAAUGCCUGGCAAGAGUAGAUGGAGAAGCUGGUAUCCAUACAAUGAAACACAAUAUGACAGACAAAAAACUGCUACAUCCAACACAAGUGAGUCCCAUAAACACCACACUGAGCGAAAGCAGCCAGAGGCCCAGAGCACACACUGCAUGACUGCCUCACCUAGAACUGAAACCAACCUGAGCUGUGCAGGAGGUUGGCACAGUAGCUGCUCCUGGUAGACAGUGAUUGGGAAGGAGACCAGGCUAGGAGUGCCUGGUUACAGAUGCUUCUUGAGCUGUGACCUUUGGUGGAAACGCACCCUGGGAAGUGUGUGCACUGUGCAUCUUGUGCUAGGUAGGACACCGCAAAGGCUUCUUCUGUCCAAAGCCUGGCUAGGCAAUUGGUCUACGGGGUGGAGACACGGCCAGCACGCUGCGUGGGAACAUGGGGCCCACUCUGGCCCGUGGGUGAUCGCCUCCUCUUCCAGCCUCACUCUCCUCUUCCGGAAGAGAGGGAUGUCACCAGCUGACUCUAGUGCAGGCACAGGGGCCUCAGAACCAGCGCGUGUAAUCCCUGAGCGCUUGGAGAAAAGGAGUGCCUCCGACAGGCCUGACCAGGCGGGUCUGCACAGAAGGGCUCAGAAACGACACCCGGACAGACGGCGCGGCCCUGUGUCCGUGGACCCCGCAGGUGACAGAGCAAAGCUGCAGCAUGGGCAGUGCAGAGGGAGGUUCUGGUGCCAGGAUCCGAGCCAGCACCAGGCUUGCUCCUGCAGGUGGGCAGCGGCCUGGGACAAGUGACCCUGUGGCCUGGGCCUCUGCCCUGAGGAGUACGCUGGCCCAGGUGCGUGGAAGUGACUGUGAGGGCCUGUGGGGUGAGGCCACUGCUGCACCCACAUCAGGAGGUGCUGAGUGCCAGGGACCAGCCACAGCCCAGCACCACCCCACAG
rnacentral:lncRNA from 1 species